UACGUAGGUGGCAAGCGUUGUCCGGAAUUAUUGGGCGUAAAGCGCGCGCAGGCGGUCCUUUAAGUCUGAUGUGGAAGCCCACGGCUCAACCGUGGAGGGUCAUUGGAAACUGGGGGACUUGAGUACAGAAGAGAAGAGUGGAAUUCCACGUGUAGCGGUGAAAUGCGUAGAGAUGUGGAGGAACACCAGUGGCGAAGGCGACUCUUUGGUCUGUAACUGACGCUGAGGCAUGAAAGCGUGGGGAGCAAACAGG
rnacentral:rRNA from 1 species